GAUGAACGCUAGCGGCAGGCUUAAUACAUGCAAGUCGAGGGACAGCACAGGUAGCAAUACUGGGUGGUAACCGGCAAACGGGUGCGGAACACGUACACAACCUUCCUUUAAGUGGGGGACAGCCCAGAGAAAUUUGGAUUAAUACCCCGUAAUAUAGUUGAAUGGCAUCAUUUGAUUAUUAUAGCUACGGCGCUUAAUGAUGGGUGUGCGGCUGAUUAGAUAGUUGGCGGGGUAACGGCCCACCAAGUCUACGAUCAGUAGCUGAUGUGAGAGCAAGAUCAGCCACACGGGAACUGGGACACGGGCCGGACUCCUACGUGAGGCAGCAGUAAGGAAUAUUGGUCAAUGGACGCAAGUCUGAACCAGCCAUGCCGCGUGAAGGAUUAAGGUCCUCUGGAUUGUAAACUUCUUUUAUUUGGGACGAAAAAGGGCCUUUCUAGGUCAACUGACGGUACCAGAUGAAUAAGCACCGGCUAACUCCGUGCCAGCCGCCGCAGUAAAAC
rnacentral:rRNA from 1 species